CCUCUCGCACACGCACACACACAGACGCGCACGCAGCCCGCGGCGAGGGGAGGCCGCCGGCCAUCGCAGCCCGGGCGCCCGCGUCUCCUCGGCCGCUGCGGGGCCGGUCCCCGGGGCGCGGAGAGCCCUCGCUGGGGCGGCGGCGGGGGGGGGGCAGAGCCGAGGAGCGGAGCCGGCGGAUCCUCGCCCUGCGGAGCCCCCGGGAUUUACAAGGAAUCGCGUGCUCCUUCCCAGGCGCGAGCGAGGGCUCAUCCCGAAAAGCCAACCUCCUUCGCGCCCUACUGUCCAAAAUAAUCCCUUGGACUCUUGCGAAGACAGGGGGGCUUUCGGGACCAUGGCAUCGACAGAAGGUGCCAACAAUAUGCCUAAGCAAGUAGAAGUGCGGAUGCAUGAAAGUCAUUUAAGUCCAGUGGAGCACAGAUCCAGGAACAUAUGUGUGCAGUUCUGCCAGUCGCUCCACAGGAAUCUGCUCCUGACUCUCACUGUAUUAGGUGUGAUCCUGGGUGCACUGUGUGGGGGUCUUCUUCGUCUAGCGACACCUAUUGACCCUGACAUCAUCAUGUUAAUAGCCUUCCCAGGAGAUAUACUUAUGAGGAUGCUAAAAAUGCUGAUCCUCCCUUUAAUUAUCUCCAGUUUAAUCACAGGACUGUCUGGUUUAGAUGCUAAAGCAAGUGGCCGAUUGGGUACAAGAGCCAUGGUCUACUACAUGUCCACCACUAUUAUUGCUGCUGUGCUGGGCGUGAUUUUGGUUUUAGCCAUCCAUCCAGGGAAUCCGAAACUCAAGAAACAGCUUGGUCAAGGGAAGAAGAAUGAUGAAGUAUCUAGUCUGGAUGCUUUCUUGGAUCUGAUUCGAAACCUCUUCCCUGAAAAUCUAGUCCAAGCGUGCUUUCAGCAGAUCCAAACUGUCACCAAGAAGGUGCUGGUACCACCACCCAUUGAAGAACCACCUAAUGUCACCGACUCUGCUUUUGCGAUGAUGAAUGAGACAGUACCUGAAGCACCACCAGAAGCCCAGCUGGUCAUUAAGAAGGGACUUGAAUUUAAGGAUGGCAUGAAUGUCCUGGGUUUGAUAGGAUUCUUUAUCGCUUUUGGCAUUGCUAUGGGGAAAAUGGGAGAACAGGCCAAGAUGAUGGUGGAUUUCUUCAACAUCCUGAAUGAGAUUGUAAUGAAGUUAGUAACUAUGAUCAUGUGGUAUUCCCCUUUGGGCAUUGCUUGCCUCAUCUGUGGAAAAAUCAUUGCAAUCAAGGACUUAGAAGUAGUUGCUAGACAACUUGGCAUGUACAUGGUCACUGUGAUUGUGGGUCUUCUCAUCCAUGGAGGGAUCUUCCUGCCUCUGCUUUACUUUGUGAUAACAAGGAAGAGCCCAUUUUCAUUCCUUGCUGGGAUUUUCCAGGCAUGGAUCACAGCACUAGGCACAGCUUCCAGUGCUGGAACAUUACCUGUUACAUUCCGGUGUCUUGAAGAAAAUCUAGGCAUUGAUAAGCGUGUAACAAGGUUUGUUCUUCCUGUUGGAGCAACUAUUAACAUGGAUGGAACUGCCCUUUAUGAAGCUGUGGCUGCCAUCUUCAUAGCACAGAUGAAUGGAAUUGAGCUGGAUGGAGGCCAGAUAGUUACUGUGAGUUUGACCGCCACCCUUGCAAGUGUUGGAGCUGCCAGUAUUCCCAGCGCGGGACUUGUCACUAUGCUUCUGAUCCUUACUGCAGUGGGUCUCCCUACCCAGGACAUCAGUUUGCUUGUUGCUGUUGACUGGCUUUUGGACCGGAUGAGAACAUCAGUCAAUGUAGUGGGGGAUUCUUUUGGUGCUGGCAUUGUCUACCACCUUUCCAAGGCAGAACUUGACACCAUUGAUUCCCAUCAUAAAGGGCACGAAGACAUUGAAAUGACCAAGACUCAGUCAAUCUAUGACGACAUGAAAAAUCAUAGGGAAAACAACUCAAACCAAUGUGUUUUUGCAGCUCACAACUCAGUCAUAGUAGAUGAGUGCAAGGUACCUUUCACAUUUAUGGAUAUUGAGACAUGUAUAUAGCACUGCAUGCUUUAUUUUAUCUUAUUUUUUAACCUGCAUGUAUUUUUCAAAUCGUACUGCAAAUAACAAUGUGACAACAAGGUCCAUGAACCCCAGACAUUUUGAAUGAGUUUGAGCAGUUCAAAAGAUGUUUUUUUGCACUCUUCUUAAAAGUUGUCAUUUGAGGGGAAAAAACCAUGUACACUGUUUACAUAUCAAAAGGCAAGAUGCAGCGUAUUAUGGAAUAUGCCAAGACGCAGAGAAUAUGGCAUCACCUUCUAUGGACAUUUACUUAAUUUUCUAUGACAACAGAGAACUUAAUUGCCAACCCAAAUGAAGGAUAGCUGCAAUUCAGAUACAGGUGUUGUAAUUUGCUGACUGCCAUCCAUGAUAUGCUGUUCAGAGAUGGACGUGUUGAAUGCACUUUAGCAUCAGAAUGCUCCUGCACUCAUACAGCAUGCUUAUGCUUUGCUUCCGUCAUCAUUCCUGAGUCAUUAAGGCACAAACAUCGUAUUCUCUCUCUAGUCCUUGCUGUAACUAACAUGGAUUAUUAAAAGUAAUGAUAACAUCUUGAUCAGAGCAAAGUGAGCUUGAGAAACCCCACCAGUUGAAUGACAGAACAGUUGGGGAGGUUAGUGGUUAAAAGUUCCCUAAGCACCCACCACGAGGACGGGGCAGUUUAAAAUCAAGAGAGAAUUUUUGAAAAGGGGGAGAAAGAGAGUGAAACAAGGUGGAGCUUUUCAUUUCAUAGUCUUUUUUUUAUUUGUUAAUACUCUGAUCUGAUCUUGUACACUGUCUUUGACACAGUGAAUUUGCCAGUGAGCCUACAUUAGCCAUUUAUCCAAACAGAUUCUCUUGCAUCUUCCAGUUGCCACAACUGAGCCAGUAUCUAACUGUGAAUGCCUACACUAAGUCCAUUAGCAGAUCACCAUAUAUAUUGGAAAUAUAGGUCCUAUUCUGUCACUUUCACCUGUCUCCAGCCUGGCUGGAAAUGUUCUUUAGAAUAUAUUUUUUUCUAAUGCCUACUGAAUUUCCAGGGGAAAAAGUAAUACUGAAUUCAGGAAAGAAAGAACUUUCAUCUUAUCCUCAAUUUUCCCCCACAUCUUCCAACUUUUUAAUACAGUGAUUUUUUUAUAAUGAAAACAAACAUUUUCUCCUGAUAUGGCUCUCCCCUUCCUCUUCUGACCCACUCUUUUUCCAUGAGAAAAAUUAAAGAAAAAAAAUCUUGAAAUGGAAAGAGAAUACAUGCUUACACAACAUUAAAAAUUGUCAUUAAUUUGUAUUUCUCAAAAAAGGAAGGGACACAGAAAAGAUAAAAAUAUGAAGGAAAAAAGAAACUCCCUGAAAAGAAAGAUCUCAUUUGAUAACAGAUUUUUUCAUUAAAAGUAAGCACACAUGCACACACACACACUUUUUGGUUAACUUCUUUUGGAACUUUUGGAAAACUGUUUUUCAGUGAAAUAGACUAUGCUAAUUUCAGUGGGUUUAAGACAAAUUCAGCUACCAUAUAUCAGUCUGAAUCCAGUUCAUGGAACUGAAUACUGAUAAUUUUAUCUCCUUCUAGUCUCUCAGAUUUGCACAGACAUCCAAGUCAAGCUAGAAAGUAGUAGCCCAUUGAUGCAGUAUUUGCUGCGCUUUCUUUCCUCCUUCAGUUUCAUGUAUCAUUUCCCUCAGUUGAGGCAUUAGUUUACCGCAAAAACGUGGAUUAAUGGUGUGGUACAUCAUCCUAACACACCCUUUAAUUAAAAUUUGGGACCAGUGCUUUAUGAGCUAGAGGUGUUUGUCCUUUUUCAUUGUUUUAGGUUUGCUCUGCUUCCGAUCUCAUUUUGCACUUUUAAACUCAUGAAAAGAGCCAGGGUUUACUGGAUUGAGCACAAGACUGACUGAGCAGGUCACUUGUCUUGUCCAUGUCUCUGCAAGCUGCCAAAAGGAUGUGAUAUUACGGUCUACUUUAUAAACUAUGAAUAUAUACUGACAUUUGCAAAGCAUUUGGAUCAUUUUGAAGUGGUCUACAGCUCCCAAGUGCUGAGUAGCAAAAGCAACAGAGUGUAGGAUUUGGGGCUUCAAAACAGCCAGCUGUUAAAUGUGAAGAGACAUCUCUUCGUCCUGUCAAAUGCACUGGUGGGUUGAAAAGCUCACUGCAACUCUGGUCAGAAUUUGGAAAGGCUAAUCUACUAGCAUGUCCUCUCUAUUCACUUUCUGUAAUAUCAUUCCAUUAUGACGCUGGUAGUUUGUAAUUUUGCAUGGUCAAUGGAUAUUUUUAAUAAGUAGUUUACCUUUAUCUGGGGGUAGAGUGGUUGUUAUUGCAUGAUAUUUUUGUAUUUUUUUAUUAUCAUAUUUCACAUGACUCUGUGUGAUUUUCAUUUCUGAAUAAGCUGUUCAUUCCUGUAUUUGCAUGUUUCCCCCUUUCAAUUAUCUAAGAAAAAGCUUGACUUUUUGUUUCAAAAAUCAGUGCAUUUUGUCAUGUUUCCAUGUCCCAAUGCUUCCAUGCAUCCAGUUUAUCCAGCAUGGGGAAUUUCAGCUCUGUCUUUAAGUUUUCAUUUGAAGCUGAGGAUGUUAAUUUACAAGGUAACACUGGCAACCAAUGGCAAAUCUGCAGACUUCAGUGUUGUUGAAGAAGAGCCUUGGAAACGUGAAAACUAAGGGAAGAGAUUCCUAGCUCCAUCUUUAAUAAGCCUUGAAGCUAUCUUCUGGCAAAAGAUACUACAGUUAAAGAAGAUUUCUGGUUUUUUCUAUUUAACAUCUACAGUUUCUGCUUACUUAAUUUCUUAACUGAAACUUAGCAAAGAUCUCAUCAAGUCAUUGUAGUGUCUUUGCCAAGCAAUGAUCCAUAACCAUCUGUCUCCCUUGUGUUACUGUUUGGAUGAUGCAGCUGGAGAAUACUCCAUGCAGUGCAAUGUGCUUUCACCCACCUCCCCUUUCAUUCAAGACACAGAGAAUGUAAAUGCUGCAAAAUGGGAAGAUCAAAGUGCCAGUACGGUUCACUACAGGGACUCAGGGUCACAAAUACAAGAGAAACAUAACACCACGUAAACCUUCAAGUGUUUUGGUGACUCUUGUGGCAUACCUGAUCUAUUUAGCACUGUAUGGCUAAAAUAUCUUCUGAAAAUGUCCAUAAAGGUUUCUAUUUGUUUUAAUAAUAACAAGCACUGUAUUUUUGUGCCUAGUUGUACUUUAAACUGAACUUAGAUCCAGGGGCAAGAUUAAUGUAUAGAAGUCAAGAAAUUAUCCCAGACAUUUUAUUAGAUCAGUACAGCUAAUACUUAGCAUCAAGACAACACUUUAGAUUGGUAUGUGCAUAUGAUGUGUUUUUAUCAGCUGUCCCAGGGCAGGUGCAGCCUUUGUUUUAUGAUGGGGCUGUGCUGCUUUGUGACCACAAUGCACCAUAUAAUACAAGGCAGUAUUAUUGCAGAGGUGGUAGUUCCUUCACUAAAUCUAUGCCUGAUACACAAAAUACAGGAUACCAUGGGCUCAGUUAUGCCAUUUUUAAUCAAAGUAGGUGGCACCUUACUAUUAACCCUGCUCCGCUGAUGUCAGAGGGAUUCCUCAUGUGGACGGGACUACUCAAGUAAGGUACUACUGAGACUGAUCACAGAUGUCAUGAUUGGGUAUUUGAUAAUGAGCAAUAAACAAAUUCUAAAUCCAUUACUCUAAGAAAUUGAGAGUUUUUGAGUGUGAUCAGCAGUAGCAUUUGGUAUGAAGUGAAAGCCAUCUUUCGAGUAUAUGUCAUAUUUCAGAGAAUGGCUAAAUCCUGAAUUCAUUGCUAAGCCAAAUUCCAUAUAAGGUUAAUAGAAUUUGGCCAGGGUUAGGAUUGAAUGAAGAAUAAACCACAAUUCAGGAUUUAGACCAGUACAUUGAAUAUACAUUUCUCCCCCUCUCUCUCUCUUUUGCAGAGUAGCAAUUCAUAGAACUCUCUAAUGUCAGAGAAAUGUUUCUUAGAGCACAUGGCAUCUGAAUUAAUGAGAUGGUGUUUUGCCAACAUAGUAUAGGUGACUCACCCUGUCAGAAGAAAUUAGUCACGAUAAUCACCCUGUGAAGUGUUUUUAAAGGUGCUUGUUAAUACUCAGCAAUUUUAAGACACUGGUGAAUGCCAUUAUACUAUUAGCAAUGUUCUAUAGCAAAGCUGAGCCACGUGGCCUUGGGAGGUUCUACCCACAGAAAAAGCUUUGUGCAAUUUUGGGGGGAGCUCUCAGAGGUUCUCAGAAUGAAUCGGAAUAUGAGCAUAUGGUGAACUUAAAAAUGGCAGAAAACAGAGUUGAAACAUGUACAGAAAUAGGCCAUUCAGUGUCUGUGCUCAGACCUGUCAUGGGCUUAAACAGGAAUAACGUGUUUAACUGUAGAGUGGUAUUUGGCUCUGUAGAAGAUAUUAAAAUAUAAAUAUAAUCUGCUUUUGCUCAUUUGCAGUCAUACAAAUAUGUCUGAAAAUGCACAUGGACCUGAGCCAGCCAAGGCUACUUGCAUGAUUAAUGAUGUGCAAGAUCAAGUCCAUUGUCAGAGUAUCCCUCAUUUAAGCAUUUGGUGUCAUGGAAUAUUUUUCUUGUAUUUUUGUCCUCACUUGCAUGCCAUGGCUACAAUCCUAAGCAAAAUGGCCUAUAUAAUUCAACAAAUAUUGAACCACUGUGAAUUCUGUAGGCCUCUAACGUAUAUUAAAGGUAGAGAGGCCUUUUCCAGAAGCCUCCUGAAGCAACUUAAGGAUUUUUUUUUUGUGAGGGAUGGAAUCAUAGGAUAUUCAGAGAAGCAGUAGGCAAGUUGUCUUUUCUUUGGUCAUUGGUACUAGCAUAUCCACAGUUAACCUAUAGCUAGCUGCUGGUUAUCUCAAUUUGCAUUUGAAGACAUUUUUCCCACUGGGUUAUGUGCCAGCAAUGUGCCUGGGACAGUGUGUAGGUACUCUAAAAAUGUUCCCUACUUUGAGGGUGCUGGCUCACAUCAAGUGAAAUUUGCCGUGACUUGGGUGGUAGUUAUAUCCAAGAAUAACAGGCAGUGUUUAGCCUGGUUUAUAUCCAGCAUUCUCAAGCUGUUUCAUGGCACAGCUCGCCCAUUAAUAGACGACUUUCCAUCCUCUUCACUGUAGCAGUUUCUUAGGAGCAGCCACACCGAUUGCUUGCCGUGAAAGUAGCUUUACAAAACUGGUCCAUACACUUUCAGCUGUCAUUUGAAACUGUUUAGCAGUUGGAAACAAAUAGGAAUGCCAGCAACAUGUGACUAGGCAGCUCCACAAAAUUACAUCUUGAGAAACACUUAAAAUAUGCUUACACUUAUCCACUUGGGAUGUAUUGUCCUUUGAAGAGUGCUUCUUUGGAUGGAGACCAGGGGAGGAAGGAAUGAGAUGCUAGAGAAACCCCACCCACAUAAGGGAGAAUAAAUUUGGGUCUUUUGAUAGGACUAGAAUAGUAGACUGUGAUUUUAAAAUAGUAAUUCUGUAGAUAGAGUAACUCAGGGAUGUUUCAAAAGAUAAUUGUGAUGGUAUUUCUCUAUUUAAAUGUAGAUGUGGGAGAAGGAGAAAUGUUGGGUUUGGUAUACUCCUCUGCUUUUAGCCUGACUGAAUAUUUAAUAUAGUGUUACUCCAGCGCAGCACUGUAUUUAACCAUCAAAAAGCUUUCCAUUUCUCUGGGAAAAUGUAACUCACUCUUGGCUUGCAUUUCUUGAUUUGCUCAUUCCACAUGAGGCUGGGUUGCUACUUAACUAAAUAAACAGAAGAUAAUCCAGGGACCGGCCACUACAGCUAAUACAAGGUUCACGUUUCAGCAGGCAGUGCUGGUUACUGGCCAGUCUCUUUUUAGUUUCACUAGGAAUGUUGAUGCAUUAAUUUGCAUCUGGCAAAUCUUUUGUAUUUGUUCGCAGUGCUGGGGUGGCAAAGUUAAAGGAAAAGCACAGUGGAAACAGAAUUGUUUUCUGUGUAGUUCUUAAACAAAUUAACAUUUCUUUCUACAUGCAUGUGGUUUGCUGCUCUGUCAGUUCCCCCCAUCCUUGUCUGUGCAACUGUGAUUGAUACCCUUUGCCCUUUGGAUUGCUGACAGCACACUGGCACAUGGAAAAGUCUAGACCAGGCAAAGACUCAGUUAAUUGCAUGCUUAAUUAAGUGCAUGCUUAAUUAAGUACAUGCUUAUGCAUUUGCUUUAUGCAUUUAGUGCUGAAGCUAGGUCAGCAUUCUCUAAAUAUCUCUUCACUGAAACUAAAGCACACUGUACAUUAAAACUACAGAAGAGGUGGAGCACUUUGCUACUGAAUUUGUUUCUUCAUUGCUUCCCUUAGAAGACAAAGGCUGCACCAGCAUUGUAAGACACAAGCGUGGGUCUUAUACGUGAAGGUGCUUCAAAUAGGUAGGGGAUAAGCCAUUUGAACUAUAUUAUGGGAUGUGCUCCUUCCGUUUGAAUUGGUGAAAAAUUCAGUAUGUCUUUGAAAACUGUAUUUGCUGUAGCAAAACCUGUGCCUGCAGUGCUCUGACUACAUGAAAGCCCCACUGAAAUCUAUGGGAGUCACAGGCUUCCAGGAAAGGUCAAGUCCCUUCCUGUCUUCUUUAUGUUACAAGACAUUUCACAACCCCAUCCUAGGGAAUAGUCUUUGUCUGCUAUUUAUAAUGACAUUGAUUCGCAUAUCCAAAAGAUUUCUGCCAAGAUGCUUCUUUUUUGCCUAAUUGUUUAUACGCUAGAUGUCCAGCAAUGAGUUUAAAACUCGGCACAAAAAUAAGGGUCACUAUCAUUACAUUUUUUUCCAUUUCUUCCCUGAGAUACAGCAGAUCUCCAUUUCUUUCUCAAAGCCUGUGGAAUUCCUAACUUCGUGCCACUUUAAAACGUAUGAGUAAUAUAGAUUUCUGAUUUGUUUUCCAUCACUCCCAGAGUCAUUAGUUUUCCAGCAGUAGAUACUCAGAAGAGCAGACUGUUCAUCUGAGAAGCUGCAGCAACAGUGUUUGAACAAAUUUAUUCUGGCAACUGCCUGGAUAUCCUUUGCUUCCUUGCCUUCACUUGUGUUGUUGCAGCCUUGUUGUAGCAACACAGCAGCAAUUGCACAAAUCCCCAAAACUGUAGGCAGUAUUAAACCUCACCGCUGACAUUCACUUCUGUAAAAAGGCUCUGAGCUUUAGUACUGGGCUCAGAAGAAUCCUUUUCUGCAGAUGUAAAGGUAUAACUGUUUCUCAUUUCAUUAAGUUCCAUUUAUCUAUUUUUAUUGCUGCAUUUGAAUUAAUUUACAGAAGGAUAAAUAAGAGCACUUUAUAAAAAUGUACUGUAACAUUAUUGUAUUAUGAGCCAGAAGACUAUCCUUGAUUUUAUUACUGUGACUUCUAAGGCCACGAUUAAGAUAUUUUUCACAUUAGUUAUUAUGAUAGGUGUAUAGUCCAUUAGGACAAUUCACCUCGGCUAUAAUUCACCAUGUAAGACUAUACAGAAGCUCCUGUUCCCAGCAGAAAGCACUCUCAGGAAGAUGAGUUAUUUUCUUCUCUCCAAUCAUAUUGAUGACUUUGAAGGAAAAGUAUUUACCCAAUUUCCUUUGUCUGAAUAAUGAUGUAUAGAGUGUAGCUUCAAGUACUGAAAAAAAAAAAAAAAAGGAAUUGCGAUAUUGAAGUGUCAAAGGCGGCAGUCCAGCUGUAAACAAAUUUUUCAGCUUCGCCAUGUUAUUUCUGAAACUGUUAUGUUCUUGCUCACAAUUUACCUGAAACACCAUAUUUAGUGCAUAUUCCUUCCAAAGUCAUCGAUCUUUCUUCCCACAUAGACACCAAGGCUGUGUCUCUCCGUGGCCCUCAGACAAAGCACAGACUCUGCAGUUCUGCACACCUAAGGCAGGACUCCUAGUAAAGCCCCCAGCAACAGUGCCUGGGUACAGACUGGACGAUGGGUACCUCCCUCAAUUUUUCCUCCUGAUCGUGUUUGAUGUUAAAUUGAAAUCUGCUGCUAUGAAUGAGUCAAACUGCUGCUGAUGCCCAGGUGCUGGUAAUUCUUUUACUUCUUGUAUGAGUGGGCUCCCUGGCACAAGGCUCUGAGAAACCAUCCCUCACAUGUGCCCACCAUCCCAGAGACAUCUUCCCCUUCUUGGGGUUGAUACAAGUCCUAACGCAUAAGGUGGUUGUGCAGUUGCAACUAUGAGUCUUGUGGAAAACCCAGACUCCAAACAUUGAAAAAACUUAGAGCCUAUGACUGAGCCACUGAGUAGGUCUCUACUAGUCCAGGAUGGAAAUAACCAACAGGCUAAUGCAGGAUUUGGGGAGGCAAGAAGACUUGGGAGAUUUCUCACUUCACCCAACCUUUGAUCCCCUUUCACUUCUAACUACAUUCUGCUGCAGAGCCAAUGCUGAUUGGCGCCAGAGUGUCCAAUCCUUCUAGUCUGAUUUUUCAAAAUUCAGGAGUCCUGCAACUGUUUUUAAUGCUGCUCUGUGGCGCACACCGUUACAUAAAGGGAAACUCAUAAGCAACAUCACACAACCUGGAUUGUCUGGUACCUGUAUAUUGCUUUGUACAUAAAUAGUAUAGUUUGCAGGGAUUUUUGUGUCAUUCUUUUCUAUUUUUUUCCUACAGUUUUUCAAAGACUGUAUGCAAACUGUGUUUACAAAUUGAUUUUGCAGUCAGUAUUGUAGAUCAUGGCAUUUCCAUUUUGGUGUUUUGUAUGGGCUUGUGAGUUCUUGUGUACUACAGGUUGUCCUUCCUUCUUAAAGACAAUUGCAUACACUUCCAUCCAACAUAUCCUGCUCCUUUCUUAAAUAUAUCCCAUUUCCUAUGAUGUGGUGUGAACUCUAGCUUGUUGAAUGCAUGAGAAAAAGCUGCGUAUGUAUUUAUAUUGUUAAAUAUUAAUAAAUAUAUGCUCGAUACUGAUUUAGUUAUUAAUACAGGUUUUAGGGAUUUGUACUUGUUCUCUGGAAACUACAGUGUAGACUGAACUAAAUUACUUAGUAUCUGUAAUUUACAGACACACUAAUAUUUUCUUAUAAUGUUUUCUAUAUGACCGUAUAAGGUAGGGGGAUAAUCCUUUAAAGGUGAUCUGUACCUUAGAACAAAACCAGUUUUCUUACAACAUUUAGGAUCGAUGAAAUAUUUUUGUGUUAUGUUUAGUGACAAAUUAUAAACAAAGCACAAAAUGCAAGAAUCAAAUACGAAUUUCAAGAUGUCCUUAAAUGCUGCAGUUCAUUAUGGAACAAUGUUAUAAUAAUCUGAGCAAUCUUCUAGAUUGACUGUCUUGGGCAAUCGUCCCUCAUUUUUGUCAUUUUUCCUGGUGUUACCUUUGCCAAAUCCUGCGGUUCUUUCUUAGGAUCUGAUCAUGUAUAACUGACUGAAUCAGAAUACAGUUUAUACAAAACUGGAGAUCUGGGUAGGCAACAAAUAUGUUAUCAGGUACCCAGUCCAUCUUGCUACAAUACAGUGUAUAUGAGUUCAGCCUGUGGAAAGAGUUCAUGAUUUGGCCUCCUACCUUUGCCAUCUGGAAAACGGACCAACAGAACCACCAUGGGACCAAUGUAAUUGGGUAGCAUCUGUACAAAUACCUCCUGAUUUCUUAUGUAUUUUAAAGAGAACAACCGCUAUAUUUUUUGAUCAGGACAAGUGAGAGUUGCUUCUCUGUUAUGGUCAUCUGUUCCCAUCAGGCAAAUACCUGUUGGCCUCAAGGCCGUGGCUAUAAUAAUUUCUAUUUAAUUAACAAGGAACUGUUUUUAGAGGAAUAAAAAUAAAUUCAUAUAAAUAUUUGUAACAAUUAUAUCAUAAAAAAUCUUUUACGGCCUAAUAGCUCUUUGACUGUGAUUCAAAGCAAAACAUUGAAUAGCAAGUACUGCUGUCCCAGUGUGACUGAUACUGGGUAUCUGUUCAACUGUUCAGAAAUCUAUGGGGCCAUGUUAUUCUGCUGAGGUUUUGGAGACUAAAUUUCUAGUAGAUAUACAUGUAGGAAGUGUGUUGAUAUAUCCUUGUAUUUUAAUCUCUUUCUUGUAUUUUAAAUCAGAUGUACCAGGUAUUAUCUUAAUAGGAACCGCAGGUAGAAUAGUGCUGAAUUACUAAUUGAUACCAGUUUUCAGAUUUUGUUAAAGCAUGAUAUCCAGUGCCUCUCUGCACUUAGUGUAGAUAAUGUAGAUAUCAACAUGUAAUUUCAGUGAAAUGGUGUAUACAGUAUGUGUAGCAGUGCUUUAAUUUAAUUUAGUUGGUUUCUGUGUAUUGAGCCAUAGUAGAAAAUUAGGCUGUCUUUUAAAAUUUUUUUCUACUUUCUGAUUUUCAUCUGAAUCUGAGUUUGUUCCCUUUUGACCAUUCAACUGAUUAGGUUCCACAGCUUAGUAACUGCUCUAUCUGUCUAUUAUGGAGUAUCCUGUUCUGAUAACAUUCAGAAUCACGUAUACAGCCAACUUAUUGUAAAUAUGUUAUUUUUAGUUUUCAGCUAUCUAUCCAGUGUGGUUUGUGUUAGUACUUGCAUGUGUGUAGUUCCCUGGCAGUGAGUGAAAGGGAUCCCAGCAUAGAUUUGCUGCCUUGUGAAUGCGGUUGUUACGACAUUAAGAAUUAACGUUCACCUAGAAUGAUUAGUUUCUGUUAUGUUUUCUUCUUGUUUGCUUGAAAUGUUGGGACUGUUUAUCACCAGAAGUUCAGUAAGUCACUGUUUAAAUUGGCACAAUGACUAAGGGGAACUCCAUCUAGCUGCAUUCCCGUUGGAUGCCCUGGCUGCUUUCGACUCUUUGUGCACUGUGCAUCAUUCAGCCCUUAGUCACGGCGCGGCGUUGCAGAAUCCCUCUGAGUCACUUCCAGUUCCUCCUUGACCACAGACGCCAGCAAAGCAGCGCAGUCCCACGGCUGUGGCUGGGCAAGGCUGCAGGCAGCAGCGGGCUGCCAGUUCUCUCCCAAGUGCCGAGAAGUCCAAGUAGGAACCUCUGCUUCAUCCCCUUGGCAGGAACAGUCUCUGAGAAAGAUGAAUACGCUCAUGGGCAAAGGUGCACUGUUUCUUUCAUUGUUAAAAAAAGGAUAUUAAUAGUUAUUGAAAUUAAAUGCAAAGCUAAAGGCUUCUCAAGCUACUGUGGUCUGUUAUUUACAAAAAGUAUGUCUGAUGAUAAAACAGACAUAUGAACUAGAUUGUCAGUGGCAAAAAAUCUUCUGAAAUCGGGGCUACAGUUCAGAUCUCUGAGAAAAUAAGACCUUUCUGGGGCAAAACCUGAAGGUGGUUGGGAGAGAGCUUAGGACAGCAAGAAGCAGCUGGUUUGUUCCUAGAUACCCUGGUCCUGGAUCUCAUAAAUCUAAUCAUCCCCUGUGAGCAGAAAGAGGUCAAAAUCAGGCCCCAAAGCACGGGAAGUAUCCUGCUUGGUGAGUCCCAUUACAAGGCUUCAGUAUGAAUUGCACACUCUAGUACUGUGUGCUGACUGUUCAUCAUCCCUUGGCCCUCUUAAAAGUGACCAGGCACAAGGUGGAAUGUUUUGAGAUGUUUCUUGUAAAGGCUAAAAGGGAAAAGGGGUAAGAUUGGUCUUCUCCUUACACUCAAAAAAGUUCCCCAGAUUUUGAAAUGACAUACUGUACAGUAUCUAUAGCACAGUUUGUUUAAAAACUAAUGAACGCAGCUGAUAAAGUUUCUCCCAGCUCUGGGCUCUGUUCCUGUAUAUUGUAGUUGGAAUGCCUGGUAGACUGAGUCUAUUUUUGUAGUUCAGAUCCUUUCCUCCUUACAAUGAUUGGUAGUCAUUUGCUUUUAAUGCUUUCUUACGGUGUGAACUGAUUUCUGUAACUUUCAUGUAUAAAACAAACUAGACAGUCUUUCUAUACUGGAAAUAGUUGUGACUAUAAUAUUUCACUAAGUGUCAUAUCUCUUAUGUACAUAUCAUCAAUAAAUGUUGAUUCAUAAUUUUCA